ACGCUAAAAAGGGGGACAAAUCUCAAGCCUACACUUCUCUCCCUAAGGAUUGUCCUCUUUGGAGUAGAUCAGGCCGCCAUGCUCGACCUCUCAUCGGGGGUGGCUGGGAGGGUUUCCUCGUCUACCUCAAUGUCCUCUUCGUCUUCGUUGACGUUUUUGACUUCCAGUAGCAAUAUGUUUUAGUACAAGGUUGACGUGGCCCAACGAUCUCUUGCAGCAUAGUUUGAGGAUGGGCUUCUAGGGUUCUCGCAUUUCCACCCUGGGGUGCCGAGGAAGGUGCCAAGAUCACCUUACAAGUUCUGGUUCUCAAAUUUGAAGCUGGCAUGGACAUCGGAGCAUAUAGUGAAGAAUCCAAAUGUUCUGUCAUUGAUCAUGGAGAAGAGGUCGAUGUCUAGGAAAAACUUAUGGUUCCACUAUUGAGGAGACACAUGAACCACCAACGACCUUCGAAGCGACAUGGUGUCCCAAUUGUCCAUGCCUUUCUUGGAUUCUCUUCCUUUGCUCGGACUAUUUUAUUCAGCUGCUUUGCCCCUACCUAUUCGCGUUCCGUUCCGCCUUCAUUAAGCCACUAGAUUCCAUUCCUGAGCUGAAACCCACUAAAUGUCUUGAACAUGUCAAAUUUGAAGAAGUGGAUGAAGAUGAGG